AUGCACGAAAGUGUGAUAGGGGAACCCUAAGUGCUUAGCUUAGCUAGGCUUUUGCCAAGUUAAAACAGCUUGGCGAAUAAGUGGUGGGUAAGACUGGUGCCAGCCGCCGCGGUAACACCAGCGCCACGAGUGGGGACCACAAUUAUUGGGCCUAAAGCGUCCGUAGCCGGUUUGGCAAAUCUUUUGUGAAAUCAUACGGCUCAACCGUAUGACGCGCAGAAGACACUACCAGACUUGGAACCGGGAGGAGUCAGAGGUAUUCAUUGGGGAGCGGUAAAAUGCUAUAAUCCUGUGAAGACCACCUGUGGCGAAGGCGUCUGACUAGAACGGAUUCGACGGUGAGGGACGAAAGCUAGGGGAUCGAUCCGGAUUAGAUACCCGAGUAGUCCUAGCUGUAAACGCUGUGAGUCAGGUGUUGCAUAUUCUACGUGAAUGUGCAGUGUCGAAAUGAAGAUGUUAAACUCACCGCCUGGGGAGUAUGGUC
rnacentral:rRNA from 1 species